AUGCAUGUCUCAGUACAAGCCGCAUUAAGGCGAAACCGCGAAUGGCUCAUUAAAUCAGUUAUGGUUCCUUAGAUCUUACACUUUUUACAUGGAUAACUGUGGUAAUUCUAGAGCUAAUACAUGAAACUAGUACCCCGACUUUACGGAAGGGGUGCUUUUAUUAGAACAAAACCAAUCGGUCGGCUCGUCCGUCCGUUGCCUUGGUGACUCUGAAUAACUUUGGGCUGAUCGCACGGUCCUAGCACCGGCGACGCAUCUUUCAAAUGUCUGCCUUAUCAACUGUCGAUGGUAGGUUCUGCGCCUACCAUGGUUGUAACGGGUGACGGGGAAUCAGGGUUCGAUUCCGGAGAGGGAGCCUGAGAAACGGCUACCACAUCCAAGGAAGGCAGCAGGCGCGCAAAUUACCCACUCCCGGCACGGGGAGGUAGUGACGAAAAAUAACGAUACGGGACUCAUCCGAGGCCCCGUAAUCGGAAUGAGAACACUUUAAAUCCUUUAACGAGGAUCUAUUGGAGGGCAAGUCUGGUGCCAGCAGCCGCGGUAAUUCCAGCUCCAAUAGCGUAUAUUAAAGUUGUUGCGGUUAAAAAGCUCGUAGUCGGAGGUGUGUCUCGGACGGUCGGUUCGCCGCUUGUCGGUGCUCAACUGGCCGGUCCGGACGUCCUGCCGGUGGGGCUGUAAAAGGCUCCGUUAUCCUUCUUUGGUCCUCUUCAUUGAGUGCCUUGGUGGGCCGGCACGUUUACUUUGAACAAAUUAGAGUGCUCAAAGCAGGCCGUUGGUCGCCUGAAUACUGUGUGCAUGGAAUAAUAGAAUAGGACCUCGGUUCCAUUUUGUUGGUUUUCAGAACUCGAGGUAAUGAUUAAUAGGGACGGACGGGGGCAUUCGUAUUGCGACGUUAGAGGUGAAA
rnacentral:rRNA from 1 species